GUUGAAACACCAGUUCUCAUCCGAUCAUCGAAGUUAAGCAACGUUGUACCUGGUCACUACCUGGAUGGGCGACUGUUCAGGAAUAUCAGGUGUUGUAA